rnacentral:lncRNA from 1 species
ACACCUGGGAUACAUUUGAGCUCCGAGUUCACAAGCGGGUGAUUGACCUUUUCAGCUCUCCAGAUGUGGUGAAGCAAAUCACCUCGAUCACUAUUGAGCCUGGUGUAGAAGUUGAAGUUACAAUUGCUGAUUCUUAACUUUCUUUGUCAGAGCAUCAUAGUUAGGUAGGAGGUGGUGGCUGGGAAUGUUACAUAUCCAACCCCACCUCCUUAUGCUUCAAUAUCCUUAUGCUUCAAUAUUUAUGGCACAUAGGGAGUGCUUUUUUGGUUAACAGUUUUGAAGUGUAGACAUCUGGUGGGAUGAGAGGAAUAUUCAGUUCUUCAUGAAUUUUAAUUUUCAGCUUCAAGUAAAAGUUUCUUUUAUACUCUCAAUGUAUGGAACUUUGGGUUGCAAAUGUUACGUGUAUUAGUAUGAUUUUUCUUUCUUCUGAUCGUUGUCUACAGCAAUUACAUAGCUUCACUAAUUGGUGAAACUAGCUUCCACUUUUUGUCAACCCUUAAGCCAUGUUGUUGACUCUAUACUUCCCCCCAAGUACUUUGGCCCAUAUGGCGACUUUUUGUUUUAAGAAUCUCCAGCAUGUUUUUGCAAGCAUGGCUCUAUUUACUCUCUUCAAUUUUUGAACCCCCAGCCCCCCUCUAUUCUUAGGCUGUGUAAUCAUAUUCCAGUUGAUCAGGUGCAUUCUCCUUUUUUCUCCAUCUCCCCAAAUGAAAUUCCUUAUUCUCUUCUCAAUGCCAGCAGUAAUAUUAGCCGGUAACAAGGAAGUUUGCAUAGCAUAUAUUGAUAUGGUAGAUACAACGGAUUUGACCAAUAGAGCUCUGUCUGCGUAUGAGAGGCACCUACCCUUCCAUCCCUGUAACCUCUUAUGAACCUUUUCCAAGAUUUCAUCAUAUGUUCUUCUGUUUACCCUAGAGUGUAACAACAGGAUUCCAAGAUAUUUUCCCAGAUUAUUUGUUAAGCUCACUCCUGUUCUAUCCCUGAUAUGCUCUGCCUAGUCCCACUUCACAUUCUUUGAGCAAAAAAGUCUUGAUUUCCCAAUGCUUACCUUUUGUCCUGACAAGUCACAAAAUCUUUCCAAUACCCCUUGUAAGACUCUAGCUUGUUGCAAGCUUGCUUCAGUAAAAAGUAUGAGACCAUCCGCCAAAAAAAAGAUGAGAGACUGCCGGACCUCUUCUGGAAGUCCUACCAGGUUUCCAAAUUCCCUUCGUGACUUCUCUACUGAGUAGAUGCCCCAACCUUUUCCAUGCAAAGCACAAAGAGAUAUGGUGAUAGGGGGUCCCUUAACGGAGACCUCUAGAUGGUAUGAAAGGUGCAAUGCGUUCUCCAUUCCAUAAAACUUCCAUGCUUGAUGCCUGUACACAGUUCAUGAUCUGAGAAAUGAGGCUCUUAGGAAAAUUCACCAUCUCCAAAGUAGAUGGUCACAGGCUUUCUCUAAAUCAAUUUUAACUGCCAUGUAGCCUGUUCUCCCUUGUUUCCUUGGUAUAAUAUCUUGCGCAAUAAUUGCAUUAUCGCUAAUUUGCCUCCGAGAAUAAAAAGCUACUUUGAUCUGGGGCCACUAGCUCUGCCAUUAUUGGACGAAUUCUCUCAACCAAGAUCUUCGUUAUUGUUUUGUAAGAAACAUUGCAAAGUGAAAUCGGUCUAAAUUGAGUGAUGUUUGUUGGGUUUGCCACCUUUGGAAUUAAAGAAAUCAGAGUACCAUUCACCUCUAUCAGCAUUGUCUUAUUUUGAAAGGUUUUCAUGACAAAGUCCACCAUACUAGCCCCUACCAGAUGCCAUGCCAAAAUUUCUGGUAAAAUACUGUACAUAUCCCAUCAGGUCCCGGGUUUUGCUGAUUUUAGGUCCCUUACAAAAUUAAAUUAGUCAAAAUUAGUCUCAAUCUAGAUUUCUAACCAUUUUUUAGUUUAAAUCUACCACGUAAUCCACACAAAUGAUCAAAUCUCACUUUUUUAAGGAAAAAAUAAAUGUAGGUUGGGUAAUUUGUUUCGCUGCAAAUUUUUUUUAAGAGCAACAAUGAAUGUUCAUUGAGUGAUUUGUUUAAUUACAAAUAAAAUCUUUUUUGCACCUACAAAAAUGACUCGUGUGUGUCACAUGGUGUAUUUAGUUUAAAAAGUAUUCAAAAACUUAAAUUAAAUUUAAAUUUAAUCAACUUGAUUUUACAAAGGGCAUAAAAAUUAAUAGUGAAAAGAUAAACAAAUACAUUGGACGAAAUAUGAGAUAUGUUUCGCAUGCAAAACAUAAGGCUUUGUUUGAAUUGUAUUUUUCUAAAUUUUUUGUAAGAAAAUUAAUGUAACGAUUUGAUAUAUGUAUGAUAAAACGAUAAUUGAAAAAUGUGUUGACGAGAAACGUCGCUAUUUUUCUUGAAAAAUUGGUUUCCAAACAAAGCCUAAAUUUCAAGGUUUGCUGGGACCCCCACCCCGCAUAAGUGAUUUUGCCGGUACUUUUUGCUAAACCUGAGAAUACAACGCUGAAGCAUCCUGUACAAGAAUUACCACAAACGGAGCAUAAAGAUGGCGACGGGGUUAAGACUUGUAACGGAGAGAGUCGGCGACGGCGCCGGACAACCAGUCCUCGACACCGACAACGGGGAGGAACAAGUGCACGUCCAGUCUGGCGUCUCGAUCGUCAUCGGAAACCGCCCGCCUGAAUCCCCUGGAACUCUCUACAUCUCCACCAAGUAACUAAUCAUUCCGUCCUUUCCCUAAUUCUCUUCUUCACAUAUAUCUUCAGCUUAUGGAAAUGCGAAUGAACUGUUUAAAAAUUGUAUAGGCAAGUGGUGUGGUUAAGUGAUACUGACAGAGGCAGGGGUUAUGCGGUGGGUUUCUUAGCGGUGUCGCUUCACGCCGUUUCUCGAGACCCAGAAGCUUAUCCAUCUCCUUGUAUUUACACUCAGGUAGAGACAUCCUUUUGUUGAAGCUAUUUCUAACGACUCCAUUAUCUUUUUUUAUUUUUGUUGAUACUGUUAGGGUUUAAGGUUUGAGCUUGUUAGGGCUUAUAACUAUUUAUUCCUGAUUCAAUUAAAGAACCAGACUAGGAGUUCGUGAAUGGUGCUGUAAAACUUCUUUGUUGAUACGGCUGCUUGUUAGAUUAUUAAUUCACGUUCAUGUAAAAACCCUGUAAAAUAGAAGUUUGUUUUUGGAAGCGAGAUUUGGCGAUGUGCUUAGUGAGAUUGAGUCUGGGGCAGUACUGAUGGUAUUUUUGGAGGUUCCGGUUACUUGGCUAACCACUGCUGAGCAUUCAAUCGAGUGCUGAUCCAUUUGAUGUUUGAGUUAAUCGUGAAAUUUAGUAUGGGAGUAAUUAUCUAAACUCUAGAGGUUUGUCCAUCAUAGGCAUCUAAGUCAUAUGUCAAAGAUGCUUUGGGAUAAAGGAUUCUGGUACUACUGAGUUUUCUGGAAUAUUUGCUUUACUUGUGAAUGUCUAUUAAUUUUCUGCACUCAUAAUAAUUCCCCUAUUCGGAUGAUUAUAGGAUAUGAAGUAUACAUUUUUACCUUGAUUCCAGAUUGAGAAUGGUGUUGAGGAGGAUGAAUCAGAGGAUUCUGAUGCUGAGAGCAAUGAGACAUUAGAUUUGUCAAAGGUUACUGAGAUGAGACUAGUGCCAUCAGAUCCUGAUCAAUGUAGGCCAUCUGUUCCUAGUUUUAUGGUUUUAUUUAUGACUUCCGAGUUCUUUGUCCUUUUCCUGUGUAUCUUAUGCUUUUGAUUUUCGUCAUAUUCUGAACAGUGGAUACUCUGUUCGAGAUUUUCUGUGAAUGUGCUGAGCUUAAUCCUGAACCAGUUGAUGGUAAUUAUAAUUAUGAUUGGUAUAUAAUUUUUGUUUCUGUUGAUGCCGUUUUGACUAUUGCUUUUCAAAUAACUAUUGCAUUUUUGUACUAAUGAUGCUUUUUAUAGAGGAUGAAGGAGAGCAUAAUUGGGUAUUCAGUGCAGAUCAACUAGAAACUGGGGGUACAGGUUUGGCUCUAGUCUUUUGUGUUUUCUUGAUAGCCGAUUGUCCUGACUGUUGCUCUGGAUUUCUUUUUCUCUACUCAUUCAUCGCUGCACUACUGCUGUAGAUGUUGAGGAGUCUGAAUAUCCCUUGCAUUCAAUUGGUUGUUCUAAUGGGGAUCCUGACUUAGCGCAUACAGUGCUUCAGGUAUCUCUAGUGAUUUUCUUCCUACCUUUAACUUACAUGUUAAUGAAUAGCCGUUACUUUUACAAUUUAACCUAGAAGCUGGUCAAUGGUAUUUCUGCUGUCAAGUCUAAUGAUGUGCAUGUACCUUUCCCAAAAAUUUAUCCCAUUUCUGUUUUCACUAUUGAAUUAAGUAUAGACCAAAUUUUCCUAGGCUCAAUGGAACAGGGGAGGUUUAGAUGGGGAACUUGUGUAAAUACUACAAGGACGCAAAAAACCAGGAUGCACAGGACUCACAAUGGAUUCCUUGCCAAAUUUGAGUUAGGGGUAGUCACAAGUAAAAUUUCUGAUUGUUCUAUGAGGUCAUUUCCAACUUCUCAUAGGCUGGUUGGCACAGAGGAAGUUUAGAUAGGGAAGUAGUGUAAAUACUGUAAAGACUCAACUGAGCAAGCUGCCUAAGAUACAUGAUGGAUUCCAUGCAAAUUUGAGUUAGAGGUAUCCACAGAUAAAAUUUGUGAUUAUUCCAGAUGGUCAUCCUUUCCAUUUUUUUGGAGCCUUGUGUGACAUUAUGCUUCCUUUGUGGUGGGACAUUGUGUUUUUUUUUUGGAGGGUUUUUUUUUUGGGGGGGGGGGGGGGCGCAGGGAGACCUUGGGGGUUGUGAGGUUACUUAGUCGGCCAUUUCAUCCUCUCAUAGAUCGUUUAAAUGUCAACUCUUUCCCUUUAAAAGUUCAAUUCUUACAAAACUGUUUUGUCAAUUUUUUUUGCAGCUUCAAAUAAAUGAUCAGCGGUUUGAGGAUGCAGAAGAGAUGGAGAGUGAUAAUAACAAAGGCCAUAACUGAGCUCUCAUUGGCUUCUUUGUUUUAUGUUGAAAUCUGUUAUUUACAUCUGCAACCUUAUUUCUGUUCAAAGAUGCGUGGAUAGUGUUGUAUACUGCUUAAGUAGGGACAAUUGGGCCUUCGGGAUUUUCAAGAUGACUGACUUUGAGAUCUUAAUCUCAUGCAUUUGUUUGUGGUUUUACCUAUGGCUUCCCAACUUAAGAUGUAUCUCUAGUUGAACUGUAAUUUCACCCUGAACUUCUGUUUGCAUUUUUCCGACUAAGUGGUGAAUUCUUCAUCAUGUUAUUCGACUAGAUACUACCGUCAAGGAGAAGCUUGAUUCCCAGAAAAGUACAACCACGCAUAAAUUGUGGACUAUCCCGUAUUUUUUUCUAUGUGGAAUCUGCUGAAUCAUAAUCUGGUUUUCCAUUUUUUUCUAUACAUAGAGGCUAAACCUUAUGGGAUUAUGAAAUCUGAAACAAGAAUUGCAUCCGAAUGGUUGUCAUUGAGUGACUUGAGAUUUUAAAAUGGUUUUCUGAAAACAACGUAAACUCUGAAUCCAAUCUAAUAAUUGAAAGCUAUUGUAAAACUGAGUUGAGAAUUUGCAAAUUUUCUACCUAGUGUCUUAGGGUGUGUUUGAUAAAAUUGAAAUUUGAAAACUGAAAUUUGAAAUUUAAAAUCUAAAAUUUGAAUCAAUUUAAUUAUUAAAUUGUUAAGUAUUAAAUUUAAUGCAUUUUGGUUUAUUUAUAUUUGGUGAUAAGUGAAUAGUUUAUCACUUAUUUUUUAAAGUAAGUUUUGUCUAGAAAAUUUAGUAUUAUUUAAUUAAUUUAGAUGUUUAAUUUUUUAUUAUCAAACUCGUUUGAAUAUAUUAAAAUUUGAAUUCAUUAAAUUUAAGUGCUGAAUUGGAUUAUAAAAUAGAGUUUUAGCUGAAUUCUAUAAGAUAAAUGCCCUAUUUGGCAAGUGAGUUUUUGAAUGUUUGUUUAAAAUUUUAUUAUAAUUUACUGUAGAAAUUGUAGAAAAAUUUUUUGAAGUGUGUAAAUGUUUGAAUAUUUUGAAAUAUAUAGUUUAAAAAUUUUGAAAAAUUUUUUGAUGUUACUAUAGUUAAAAUUAUUAAAAAAACUUAUAGCAGACAAACUUUGCCCGAAACUUAUUUGUUAAACAAGGCUAAAAUAAAGAUUUUGUUAAAUUAAUGGACGAAAAAAAGAAGGUUCAACGCAUUUCCUUACUAGUUACUAAUCCAGCUAGUUGCUCCUUUCUUUUAUUUUGUCCUUUUUGGUGCUCUCGUGGGGACUAAUUUCUCAAAACAUAUUAAAAAAAAAACAAUCCGUAGCUCUGACAGGGUUCUCAAACUAUACUUGUCGUACUGAUUGUGUACGACAGCGGCUCUAAUUUUUUUCUUUUUAAUUUGCCUGUCCCCUACUGUGCCCAGUUAGCACGGUAGGGAGACAGGCGGUCAAAAAAAAAAAAAAAAAAAAGCCAAGCCUGUGGUAGUUGCAAACUUGCAAUACGUUGCGUUGUUAUGCAGUUAGUUGCUGUAACUACUAGUGCGGGCUAAUUUCUUAGAAUAUAUGUAAAAAAAAAAAACAUCGCAUAAAUAUAUCUCUGACAGCGGGGAUUUCUCAUUCUAUACCUGAGCACGGCAGCAAGAAUGAAUUUUGCAGACCUGUCUGACAAAUGCUGAAUUUCUGGUGUCAACCGUGUGCACGGCUGCCUGACAGCAGAAAUUCAACAGGUGUCAAGGAGUGUCAGCAGCAGCCGUGCUGACUGCCGUGCACAGUCAGCACGGCUACGGCUGGCACUGCCUGACGACUCCAGCCCCUGUCGGGUGACUUUGGGAAAGCUUUUAAACGUAUUUUGAUUUUAUAGCAUGGCAUGGAGAAAGAGCUCUUUUAUAGCAACAGGUGGCUGCUACUCGUGCAAGUCAAAAGUGUGUAAUGAAGAUGAGGAUGGAUUUACAGUAAAGAGUAGAUCCAUCUUUCCCAUGCGGAAUGCAUACCGGUGUUACGGAAGGCUAUUUUCAUUUUUCAUUUAAAAAAUAAAUCAAGAAAGAAAAGGGGAUUAAAUGCUAGGUUUAGACAUCCAAACUUCCCCCCCCCUUCUCCAGACAUCCAAAGGAAGGUUGUUAAAAAAAAAAAAGACUGGAUAGUGAAGAGGUGAUUUCCGUCCUGCUGGAGCAAGUCUUCCGAACUGGAGAAGCGUCUUUAUCCGUGACUGCUCCUAGGACGAGGUCACCUGCUUGGAUUGCCGGAAAGGCUGAAUCCCCCCGUGUAACUCCGAAACUUAAGUUAGUUCGCUUUGAAAGAAGCAAUAAGGUAGAAGAUGAAUUUAGUAAAGUUUUACCAGAAAUUGGUCAUCCCCUUCCUCAAUGGAGGUGUUGGGUAUUUAUAGGGUACAAUUGGGAGAGAGGAACUGUCAACACAGGUUCUCAGAGAUUCGACAAGGACAUCGUAUCAGGUUGAUCUGACUGGUCAGUGUGGGAAGCUGCAUAAGGGCAGUGGUCAGAUACGGACGGCAGGUGUCAGAGCAGCUUUUUAUCAUUCCAAUGACCUGUGUCAGACGCCCUUUCCCGCCUUCAGUAGUUGUUUAUUAUUCUGGUGUCACCUCGGCGUAUGACCCGAAGUUCUUAGUCGAAGUGGUAAAAUAGAUUGCAUUCGUGUUGGUAUUCAUCGUGCUGAUGUGGGGCUUCAGGAGACCGCACAGGAUAGGGCCUCGGACUGGCCGAGCCGAAAUGGCCACCCUCACUAAGCCCCCCAAGCUUCGAGAAGAGCGAGGUCAUGGUUUCCCGAGAUCGUCACUUCCCGAGGCUAACGAGCGUGUAGAGCACGGAACAUAGCGGGGACACGUCACGACUGUGCAGAUGGGACUAGGAGAGAGGUGAAAACGGGGGUUAUUAGCUUUAACGUCGGAUCAGUAAGAUCGAGUGUCAGAUGAACAGCACCUUCAUUAAUGAGGAGAGAGAGAGAGAGGAAGCUUUAGGGAAUCCCAAAGGUCGCGCCUCUUCGAUUUUCCCUUGUUACCUAUAAAUAGGGGCCUCUUUUCACCGUUUCAUUUUUUAUCAAAAUUUGAAAUCACUUCGGCGAUCCUACUAGACCACAUCUUCUUCUUCAGUAAUUCCUCCAACCCACAUCUUCUAAGUUCACUUCUUUUCCUGUACUAAUGGCUAGAACAGCUCGUACACACAAAGAAACAGUAAGACCCGACUUCACCGAGACAGAGAGGCCCGACCCAUCCGAAGAGAGAACAGCGACCGAAGUCGAGGAAGGAUGUGCCGAGGCGUCUCACUGAGCCGAGGGUUUACAUCAGGCAGAGACGUCUCAUCGAGCCAGGACUCCGGAGGAACAGCCCGAGGAAAUCGAUGUCGAACCCGAGGUCCUGUACGAUGACGACCUCGAGAAUGAGGUCCCGAGGGACGAGAGUGUUCAAGAACCUUCCACUCCUUCGAACGUGGCAACGCUCAACUACGGCCAGAUGCUGAGUUUCAGCAGUACCAUGGGGCAAGCCUCCGUAGCCGAGGUGGUCCGUAAGUACCCCUGGAGGAAGGAUUACAGCAUUUAUGUACCCCAACCACAACAGUCAGCCGCCCUGCCACCGAAGGAUAGGGUGGCUGUCUAUGUAGACCAACUGGAGGCCGGGCUCAGAGUGCCAACAACGAGAUUUCUUCGUGACUGCCUUAGAUAUUGGGGGGUGAGAAUCACUCAACUCACCCCUAACGCGAUUCGCGUUCUUGUCGGCUUCCGGUUGCUCUGCCGACAUCAGAAGAUAUAGUCUACAAUCAACCUCUUCCGCCACUGUUACUCGCUUAAGAACAGCGGGAGUGAGAAAGGCUGGUUCUACUUCGAAAUUAAGGUUCCGAAUUUGGUGUAUGAUGCCCCGAGCUCAAUAAAGGAGUGGAAAAUGAACUUCAUUUUCGUCCCGGCCGAGGACUUUCCUCGGAGGUUCUGGUGGAGGCCUCCUACCUCGGUAAAAGAAACCUCCCCGGGCAAGUUGGAGGAACACAACCUCAAGAAGCUACUGGGGUCGGGUCUCAAGAUUAAUUGUUGGGACUUCCCCGAGAGGGUGCUCGUGGAAGGCGGGUUCAGUCGAGCCUUAAUCAGCUCGGAUCAUUCCAUCUUAUUCUCUUCUAAGCUCCAGAGACCUUGUACUUUUCCAUUUCCCUCCUUUGUUUAUCCUUCUUGAAUUCUAACUAACUUUGUUUCAUUCUUUGCAGUGGUGAAGGUUUCUGACCUGAUCACUUCGGGAGGGGCCGAAGUGGUGAAGAGGGCACCUAAGAAACGCAAGGAUACCGCUGAGCCCUCCACCAGACCGGCUAAGAAAAUCACCACGGCAACGGGCGACCGGGGAGCCCGCCGUAGUGAUCAUAGGCGAGGGCUCACACACCUCGGGCGCGUGAGGGAAGUCCAAAUCUUCUGUCAUUCCUGUGGGAGUUCCUUCCCGUGGAGUGACUAUAGCCUCUCCACCUCGGGGUCGAGCGGCAGCCAUCACCCCGGAGAACCCCGUCACGGGGUCUUCAUUGUUCAAUCUCCACCAUGUGUCUUCUGUAGCGGCCGGGGAGGACAAGAGGCACUCCUGCGCACAGUACUGUCCGGAGUGGGAUAUAAACGUAAGCGAUCGAUGUAAAGGUCCCCGAGUCGCACACGAGCUCCUGGUGCAUUCGGUCCUACCCCGGGACAAUACUUACACCAGGAAACUCUCUCCUGCCGAGCUGAUGUAGAGCGCCUCGGUUUCCUGGGUUUCAACCAUUGCGUUCUUGGCUGAAAUGCAUCAACGCUUCGGGCACUUCAUACAGACGUAUGAAUCACCUGCUGAGCUCCAGAAGAAGAUCGCCGAUCUGGAAGAGAGGCUGAGGACCACUGAGCUGGAGCGAGACAAGGCUGAGCUUGCGAAGAAGAAGGCCGAAAUCGCAAACAACUCCCUGAUCACUGCCCUCGACGAGGAGAGAGGAAGACGAGCUCAAGAAGAACAGUCGGCCAAGGAAGCUAUAGACAAGGCCGGGUCACUGCUGUAGAGGCCUUCCGGAAAUCAGAGGCUUUCACCCACGACCUCGGCGAGCUUACCCUACCGAGCUACAUGUUCGGCUACACGUCGACUGUCCACGAUGCGACGACCUUUCUCUCUUCUGAGCAGCUGGAGUCCCUUCAGAACGCUCCUCAUUACAACGAAAAUGCCAAGGAAUUGUGCGACCGCAUGGCCGAGGGCAUCCAGGCUGAAAAGGACCUAGACGAGGUCCGAACUGAGUUCAACAAGUGGCUCCAGGAGUUCGAAUUAGAUGGCGAGGGCAGUAAAGGGAACCAGGCCGGCGGGGGAGCUGAAGGGCAACAAGACGCCGAGGCGGAAUGUGAGACCAUGGGAGGUCAGCAAGGCGCCGAGGCGGGGGGUGAAACCAUGGGAGAUCAAGACCUUGGAGCAGGUAGUGCUUAGAAGCACUUGCUUUGUAAUAGAGGGCCGAGGUCGUAGAUAACCUCGGCCUUUUACCUUUCGCACUUCAAUAAAGUUGACUUUUUGUUCUAGCACAUUUUUGCCUUCUUUUUGAUUGAGUUCAGUUUUCUUCUCUUGACUACUGCUUUGUCCCCUUAUUUUUCACUUGUAAUGGAAUGAGACUAAGUGAGAAAUAACUUAAAACUUAAGAUUGAAAGUACGUACCCUUCAAGGGUAAUACAAUUUGAGAUUUUCGGCAUGCCAAAUUCGGGGCACCCGAGACCCAUCUCGGUAUGCCAAUUUACAAUAUCCAUUUUGGCUGAACUCGACAACACGGUAUGGUCCCUCCCACUUGGGAUUUAAUUUUCCCUGAGGUUCAGCUCGGCUGACUGAGUUCUUCCGGAGAACAAUGUCUCCCGGAUUGAAUCGCAAAUGCUUGACCCGGGUAUUGUAGUAGUCAGCUAAGAUAUUUUUAUAAAUGACGACCUUGGCUGCUGCCAUAUCGCGCUUCUCUUCGGCAAGGUCGAUGUCAACUCGUCGUUCCUCUUCGUUGACCUCGGCAGUGUACGCAGCCAUUCGCGGGUUGGGAGUGAUGAAUUCGGCUGGGACGACAGCCUCGGACCCAUAAGUUAGGGAAAACGGGGUCUCUUGGGUUGCUGAUCUCGGCGUAGUCCGGUAGGACCACAGCACGCUGGGGAGCUCUUCCAUCCAUGACGAUCUAGCCCGGUGGAGCCUGGUCUUGAGGCUAUGAAGGAGAGUUCGGUUAAAGUUUUCAACUUGUCCAUUUGCCUGAGGGUGUCCAAUCGAUGUGAAAUGCUGCUUAAUCCCCAAGUUUUCACACCAUGCAUUGAAAGGAUUAUCCGCGAACUGCCGCCAUUAUCCGAGAUGACCACCCGGGGCAAGGCGAAGCGACAGACCACACUCUUCCAAAAGAAUUUUUGAACAGCAGCCCCGAUGAUGCUUCUCAAAGGCUCGGCCUCAAUCCAUUUGGUGAAAUAGCCCACGGCCACCACCACGUAGGCAUAAUUACCUGGAACCCUGGGGAAUGGGCCGAUGAUAUCAGUUCCCCACUGCUCGAAGGGCCAUGACGAGGUGAUAGGGAUCAUGAGGUUGGUCGGCUGGUGGUACUCAGGGCGUGGUACUGACAAGAAGGGCAGCUAACGACCAUGACCUGGGCAUCUACCCUCAUGAUGGGCCAGAAAUACCCAAGUAAUAAGGCUUUCUUAACGAGCAUGCUGUUAGGACUGUCAACGGUCCGGGUCUGGACCUGGACCCGGCCCGGACCCGCCAAUAAUUGCCGGGUACGGGUAGGCAUAUAGUUCCGGAACCCGGACCCGGACCCGUUUAACCUAAUAGAUUUGCGGGUAGGAUACGGAAUAUGCCGUUCCGACCCGUAUAGGACCCGAACCCGAACCCGUUUUUUAAUUAAUUAAUAAUUAAAAAUAUAUACCCAAUUUAGUUCAACCCUAAAUCCCUAAUAGUCUAAUACCCACGUAACCCACCGCCGCCGCACUCUCUUUUCCUUUGCUCCUUACCCAGCCCCAGCGACCAUUUUUCUCCUCUGCCUCCCAACUCCUGAGUCGCGCCUCCACCACCACCACUCACCAGAUCUGCAAUUUUUCAGGAAAUUGACUGAAGUUUGAGUCUAACCGAAAAGGAGUUCCUGGAGUUUGAGUCUUCGCCUCCUCGCCGUCUUCAGUCUUCCUGGAGUUCCUGCUCGGCUGCCGCCGCUGCUUUUGCCGACUGCUCGGCUUCUCAGUCAACUACUCCAGUCUUUGGCGUCUUCGGUCUUCCUGCUUGGCUGCUCUUGCGGACUUGCCGAUUUGCCGUCGGUGCUCAGCACGAAGUUCUAUCUUAACAAGUAAACUUGAUCCCUUCGGCCCUCUGUUUAUAUGUAUCAUCAAGAAUAAAAGCUGGCAAUCUUCAAUUUGGCAAAGCUAUUGUCUUAGACUUGGAGAAGAGAGCACUUUUUAAAUAAUUUCUGCGCCCUUUAUUUUGCUGAUUUGCAAUUUAUUGGCAGUCAUUAUCAAGCCCACCACAAGAUUAGUAACACAAUUGUAUUGAUCAAGCUUUCUUCUUCACUCUUUGCAUCAACAUUUACCCAAAAAAUGGUGCCAUUAAUUUCUUUUUCGGCCCUCUGUAUAUAUGUCUCAUCAAUUUCUUUUUUUUUUAAAUUUUGUUAGUAUAUUUCUGAUCUUGCUGUACUUAUUUUUUUGGAUUUUUUGAAAUUUUUAAAUACUACCCAAAAAAUAAGUUGCCAGAUUAUCUUGACGGGAAAAUGUUGGAAUUUAUGGAGGAAAAUAGCGGUGGAAUUUUUAUUAGUUGGGUAGUUUUGUUCUCUGUCUGAUUGGCCGGGUAGACCCGGCCCGGAUUCGGGACCCGUCGGGUACAGGUCCGGUGACAGAUUAGAAGACCCGUCGGGUAUUCGGGUCAAAUCCGGAACUAAUCUAGUAUAACGGGUCCGGGUCCGGAUAUAUACAUUCCGGCCCGGACCCGGCCCGUUGACAGGCCUACAUCCUGUAGCCGACAUGAGCACCACAGAGUUCCUCGUCUAUGUCUUGUCGGAUCCUUUCGCCUUCUUCCGACUUAAUGCACCGCAGCCAGGGGUCGAGGUAAGACAUCUUGUACAAGAGGUCUUGUCGAAAGGUGUACCGAGCUGCUUUACGUUAAAGCUUCCUUAAUUCUAAUCUGUCCUCGGGAAGUUCACCUCGGCUGAGAAAGCGAACUAGCGGCCCCAUCCAAGUGUCCCCAGAGUAAACGAGGUAUACUACUUCUCCUUCGUACCCCGGCUCGGCUAGGACCUUUACGAAAACCGUCUUGUUCAGGUCAGAAAAUGAAAUAGAAGCGAGCCGGGAGAGGGCAUCAGCUCUCCUGUUCUAUGACCGCGGUAUCCUUUGAAUUUCAAAAGACUCAAAGUGUGCCACCAGGUGGAGGACCUUGGAGAGGUAGCGAUGCAUCACCUCCUCCCUGGCCUCGUAUUCGCCUAGUAUUUGACACACAAUGAGUUGAGAGUUACUAUAAACCAAGAUAUGCGCGGCCCCGAACUUACGAGCUAGCUGCAGGCCGGCAAUGACAGCCUCGUAUUCGGCUUCAUUAUUAGAGGCGGCGAAAUCGAAUCUCAAGGCGUAUGAGCACUCCGUUCCCUGGGGGUCUUCGAGGAGUAAGCCUGCUCCACUACCUUCACUAUUGGACGAACCGUCCACAUGCAAAGUCCAGCGUUGAUGUUUGGCGGUGGACGAGGUCGUAAUCUGGGUAGUAGCCGGGAUGGCUUCGUUCGCCGCAUCAAAAAUGAGUUCGGCUAGGAAGUCCACGAGGGCCUGAGUUUUGAUUGCCGUGCGAGGCUCGUAAGAUAAAUCGUACUCCCCCAUCUCGAUGGCCCACUUGGUAAGGCCUCCGGAAGCUUCCGAACGUGAUAGAACUUGUCUGAGGGGCUGGUCAGUUCUCAAACAAACGUGGUGAGCCAAGAAUUAGGGCUUGGGCCGGCGGGCUGCGUGGAUCAAGGCCAGCACGAGCUUCUCUGCCUGAGUAUAUCUGGUCUCCGGACCUCUGAGAACUCGGCUGACGUAGUAGAUCGGAACUUGUACAACUUCUUCCCGGACCAGCACGGCGCUAACAGUCUCGACCGCGACAGACAGGUAUAAAAACAACUUAUCCCCUGGCUGAGGUGAGGUGUGUGUCGAGAGGUGGUGAAGGUACUCCUUCAAUUGCUCGAAGGCCUGCUGACAUUCCUCGGUCCAAGAGAAACUGUCAGCCUUCUUCAACACCUUGAAAAAGGGUAACGCCUUGGAAGCUGAUUGCGAUAGGAAUCGGUUCAGGGCGGCUAACCGCCCUGUUAGCUUCUGCACGUCGCGGACACACCGAGAUGGAGACAUUUCUUGAAUCGCUCUCACCUUAUCCGGAUUUGCUUCGAUGCCUCGCCUCGAGACGAGGUAUCCCAAAAAUUUCCUCAAAGUGACCCCGAAGACACAUUUCUUGAGGUUCAGCAUCAUCCGCGUCUUCCGGAGGACAUCAAAGAACUCUCAGGUCAGAGAGGAAGGAAGAGGUCGUCUGGCUCUUGAGUAAAAUGUCAUCCACGUAGGUUUCGAUAUUUCGUCCGAUCUGGGAUUGAAAGGCUUGGUUGACCAAGCGUUGAUACGUGGCCCCGGCAUUCUUUAGCCCAAAGGGCAUGGUGGUAUAACAAUAUGUUUUUCGGUCAGUGUAGAAGGCCGUCUUUUCUUGAUCUUUCUGACUCAUUCCAAUUUGGUGGAACCCCUUGAAGGCGUCGAGAAAGCAGAGGAUCUCAUAACCCAUUGCCGAAUCCACGAGGGUGUCGACUUUGGGUAAGGGGUAGCAGUCCUUGGGACAGGCCUUGUUGAGGUCGGUGAAGUCGACGCACAUUCUCCAAGCCCCGGUGUCUUUCUUUACCAUAACCGGGUUGGACAAUCAGGUCGGAUACUGGACCUCCCGAAUGAUUUUCGCAGGGAGGAGUUUGUCCACUUCUUCACUAACAGCUCGGCUGCGCUCAGGGCCGAGGUGCCUUCUUUUCUGUUUGACCGGGCGGACUUGGGGGUCGACGUUCAACUCAUGUAUCAUGAGGUGAUGUGGAACUCCUUGAACCUCUUCUGCGGCCCAAGCGAAGACGUCCCGGUAUUCUCUGAGAAGAUCCACCAUACCUCUUUUAAUCGGGCUUGGCAAUCGGGUGCCAACACGAACCGUCUGAUCAGGAUUCGUGGGGUCCAAAGGGAGUUCUUCCACCUCAUCCCCAGUCUCCAGCCUCGGGAUCUUCUCAACUUGUUGAGGAUCAAUGUUAUCUAUCGAGAGAAUAUUUGACCUCUUCUCGAGCCUCGCUCCGGAGGCUGACGUUGAGGCCGCUUGUAGAGUGGCGAGGUAACACUCUCGGGCGGCGCAGACGUCGCUGAUCAUCUCGGCCACCCCCGCAGGAGUAGGAAACUUAAAUCUUAGGUAGUAGGUAGAGUAUACUGCCCGCAAAACAUUAAGCGUAGGCCGACCUAAGAGUAGAUUGUACAGAGAGUCGGCCUUAACCAUUACGAAAUUGACGGGGAUAGUCCUGCAGCAGGGGUGGCGCCCUACGGUCACUGUCAGAGUCACCAUCCCCUCAUGAUGCAUAAUGUAUCCCCCGAACCCUACGAGAUGAGUUCUCACCGGGGUCAUGUGCCCCCUUGCCAGUUUAAGGCUCUCAAAGGUGCGGAGAUACAUGACAUCCAUCGAACUCCCUGGGUCGAUGUAGACCUUCUUCACAAUGUAGUUGUUGGUGAGCACCUCAAUCACCAAAACUUCAUGACUACUAGAAGCAGUUGGAACAGGAUCGCUGGGCCCGUAGGAAAUCACCUCGAAUAGGCGGACGCUAGACUCGGCCUGAUCCGGGUUAGCUUGCCUGUAAGUACUCUUUCGGGAGUUUUGACUAUCCCCUCCCGUCGGAUCUCCAGCAAUGGUGUUGAUGAUUCCGGCAAUGUUGGGCCCAUAUCCUAACCCUUGACCCGAAGACCCAUCUCGGGGAGGCCUCUUUGUCUCCCUAGGAUCCUCAGGGGGUCUGCAGCUGCUUCUCGAAAUUUGUCUUUUAUCCCGACGUUGGUCACCCUGUUUGUCACGUCGAUUCUCGUCGCGCGGAUGACCUCCACUUCGGCGGAUGAACUGCUUGGGGUGUCCUUACCUGAUGAGGUUCUCGAUCUCCCUUUUGAGAUCAUUGCAGUCCUCAGUCUCGUGCCCUAUAUCUUGAUGAUAUAGGCAGUAGAGGUUUGAGUUCCUCUUAUCCCUGCUGUCGGACAUCUUAGGAGGUGCCCUCUCGAGGUUGCUCUGUUCCAUCACGGACAACACCCGGGAUCUGGUGGUGUUCAAAGGAGUCAGCUCAGACUCAGGGAUGGAUGUCUUCCCUUUGGAAAUCCUAUCGAACACGCUGCGGCGGUCUCAGUUGGGACUUUGGAAGCCACUCCCCGUCCCUGCUUCACUUCGGCCAACAUCUUUCCCCUUUCGAGGGUCAGCCCUUGGGUGGGUGGCUUGGACCUCCUUCUUCAUGCGGUUGAGGUCUUCAGCUUGUAUGCCCUUCUCAACCUUUAACCACAACUUGUGGAGAGUGCAAGGAUAUUUUUUGUGAAUCCCCAUGUUGAACACUCCGAAGACGAGCCCAUGGGUAAAAGCGGCAAUGGUAACCUGCUCAUUGGGAUCAGGUAUUUGCACGCUUUCUUCAUGGAACCUCUGAACGUACGACCGAAGUGACUUUCUCGGGUUCUGCUGCAUGUUCAGCAGGUAAGUCGAGGUUCGGGUUGUAAGUCGGGAGGAGAUGAACCGAUGGAGAAAUCUCUUCACUAAUUCCCCCAGGGUUGAGAUGCUCCUAGGUUCUAAUCCCCAGAAUCAUUUUCGAGCUGUUCCCUGGAGAAACACUGGAAAAGCCCGGCAUAUGACAGGGUCAGGGAUGCAGUAUAAGCGGAAGGCCGAGAUGAAGGCGUGAAUGUGAUCCUCGGGAUCACCUCGGCCGUCAUAAAACGGUAUCGCGGGGAGCUUGAAGUUUGGAGGAAGCCUUUCCUCAUUAAUGUCAUCAGUAAAAGGUGGGGCCCUCAUAUAAUUCACCUCGGGUAUUCCCAGAGGCCGAGAUUCUUCCUCAGGUCGUCAUCUCAGGAGACCUCGGGAAAAGGCCUUAGUCAGGGAGGCUACCUUGGAGGCGGCUUUGGAGAACGCUCGUUUCGAUGCACUCCGGCUUAGGCGCCUCCCAUCAGACUCCUUUUCAGAUGAACCUUCAGGAGAUCCAUCUGACUUCCUUUUAGAGGACUCGGCCUUCUGCUCGCCUUGCCUCUUUAAAUAUCUCCCCAACUCCUCAAAGAUGUUGGGGUUCUCGGUUACAAAUUCAGCCAUACGAGUUAGGACCUCUUCGUUGGCGGGCUGAGUCCUUGGGGACUCCUGCCCUUCAGAAAUAUCUUUCUGGUGAGCUGCAUUGCUUUGCUCAGCACCUAUAGUGAGAGCUUUUCUACUCUUAGAACGCGUAGGCUUCAUACUCUGAUGUCUUCGCGUUCCCAUAGACGACGCCAAUUGAAGAGGUGAUUUCCGUCCUGCUGGAGCGAGUCUUCCGAACUGGAGAAGCGUCUUUAUCCGUGACUGCUCCUAGGACGAGGUCACCUGUUUGGAUUGCCGGAGGGGCUGAAUCCCCCGGUGUAGCUCUGAAACUUAAGUUAGUUCGGUUUGAAAAAAGCAAUAAGGUAGAAGAUGAACUUAGUAAAGUUUUACCAGAAAUUGGUCAUCCCCUUCCUCAAUGGAGGUGUUGGGUAUUUAUAGGGUACAAUUGGGAGAGAGGAACUGUCAACACAGGUCCUCAGAGAUUCGACAAGGACAUCGUAUCAGGUUGAUCUGACUGGUCAGUGUGGGAAGCUGCAUAAGGGCAGUGGUCAGAUACGGACAGCAGGUGUCAGAGCAGCUUUUUAUCAUUCCAAUGACCUGUGUCAGACGCCCUUUCCCGCCUUCAGUAGUUGUUUAUUAUUCUGGUGUCACCUCGGCGUAUGACCCGAAGUUCUUAGCCGAAGUGGUAAAAUAGGUUGCAUUCGUGUUGGUAUUCAUCGUGCCGAUGUGGGGCUUCAGGAGACCGCACAGGAUAAGGCCUCGAACUGGUCGAGCCGAAAUGGCCACCCUCAGAUAGAUACUGAGGAAACAGCAGAAAGAGUAACAACUGAGUUGGAACAAAUCACAAAGCGAAUGCUAUAUUUUAAAUUUCCAAACUGAAAACCUGCCUUACAAGGUGCUUGGAUUCUCAAUGUCAAAGUAACGAUAACCUGCUGCUCGACUUAGUAAUGUAAUUUGUAACCGAGAAGAAGAUUUUCCUGUCAUAAAGCUUAAGUUCUUGGAGCUUUGAACUAGAAGAGCUUGUUUGGCCGUUUUGUACCGCUUCUCAUCAUUGUGCAGAAAUCUUCAUAAUUGAUUCUUCCAUCCUGGAAUAUUGACGGCAUAAAAAAUGGAGUUACAUAGUGAGCGGACAAGCAUGAUCAAAAGGUGACAAGUUUUUAGACACGUGCAACAAAGGAAGAAUAAUGCUCACAUUAUCUGUAUCCACUUCAGAUAUUAUCUCCUUUAUAGUAGCUGGGUCACCUAUUCCAUCAUCUUCAUUACACACUUUUGACUUGCACGAGUGGCAGCCACCUUUUGCUAUAAAAGAGCUCUUCUUUCAUGCCAUGCUAUAAAACUAAGAUACGUUUAAAAGCUUUUUUUUUUCCCAAAGUCAUCCGACAGGGGCUGGAGUCAUCAGGAAGUGCCAGCCACAGGAAUAAUGCUCACAUUAUCUGUAUCCACUUCAGAUAUUAUCUCCUUUAUAAUGGUUGGGUCACCUAUUCUAUCAUCUUCAUUACACACUUUUGACUUGCACGAGUGGCAGCCACCUUUUGCUAUAAAAGAGCUCUUCUUCCAUGCCAUGCUAUAAAACCAAAAUACGUUUAAAAGCUUUUUUUUUUUCCCAAAGUCAUUCGACAGGGGAUGGAGUCGUCAGGGAGUGCCAGCUGUAGUCGUGCUCUCCAGCCCCUGUCGGAUGCACAACUGCUAACUGUGUCAGGCAGCCAUGCACAAUCAGCACGGCUGCAACUGACACCAGAAAUUCAGCAGUUGUCAGACAGGUCUGCAAAAUUCAUUCUUGCUAUCGUGUUGACUCAGCACGGCAGGUAUAGAAUCAAAAAUUCCCGCUGUCAGAGAUACAUUUAUGUGAUUUUUUUUUUUACAUGUAUUCUAAGAAAUUAGCCACUGGUGCGCCUAGUGGGGUUACAGGAGGAGAGCAAGAAAGACUUUGCAUUAUUCUUUUACUGGUGAUUAAUUCCUACACAUUUAUAUGUCUUCUCUUAAUUAGCUUGCAAUUUUUUCAGGGAUAUCUAUAAUAGUAUUGGGUCUGUUUGGAUUCAGCAUUUUUUGAAAAAUAAUUUUUUCAUUUACAAUGCUAUAGUAAUACACAAACAAAAAUAACUCCAAAAAUAUUAUAUCCAAACCAUAUAUAAAAAAUAACUCCAAAUAUAUAAAAAAAUAUAUAAAUUUAUAUAUAAAUAUUAUAUUUUGUUUAAAAUAUAUUUUUAUAUAUUUCUAAAUAUAUUUACAUAUAUAUAUUUAUGUAAAUAUAAAUAUAUUUAUUUGAGAAAAAUAAAAUUAAUAAAAUCAUACAAGUUUAUUUAUAAAUAUCAUACAAGUUUAUAUUUAUUUUUAUAUAUUUAUAUACAUAUAUACAUAUAUUUAUUUUAAUUUUGUUUUAUAAUAUGUAUAUUUCAAUUAUGUAUAUUAUAUAUAUUAUAUUAAUAUUAAUAUGUAUAUUUAAAUUAUAUAUUUUUUAUAUAUUAUAUCAAUUGAAAUAAAUAUAUAUUUUUAUAUAUAAAUAUAAAUAUUUUGUUUAAAAUACUUUGUCUGCUUAAAGGACAGGGUUCCAGACUUCCAUUUCCUCCCUCCAUUCAUGUCUGCCAGAAUCUUGUUGAUUUUAUUGACCAAAUCAACCUCUCAAAAAAAGUGCAUGUGAUGUGAUUAAGUGCCAUUCUUGUAUAGACCCCUUCUUAGUCUCAUGGAUUAGCAAUAUGUUGCUGGGAAGUUGACCUCAGAAUAUCCAAUUCUUCAAUCAAUUUUAAACAAAUGUUUUUGGUGGCUUUGAAAUGGUCUAAGAGGCCGAGAAAGCCAGUAGACUCACUAAUAGUGCAGCUGCAGGCUUGCAGCUCAUGCCAUCAUGAUUGAAACAAUUGGUGGAGCGGCUGCAAAUUUUUUAGAAGAUGUCAGCCGCUGCCCUGCACACUCAGUAUAGUAGCGGCUGACAUUUUCUGAGCCUCACUAAAAUUUUUGCAGCGGCUGAUUGACAAUUAUCAGAUUGGGAAUGGAAAAUUUAUUUUGGUGCCCUGAGUAGCUUGAGAAACACUCCAUAUCGAAGCUUCAUUUGGCGGAUAUAUUUUUUAUACGCAUAUUCUGAGAAAUUAGCCUUUCAUAGGAAGCUUAAUGAAGUAUACAAGACAAUAAAUUAACCCAUUUAUAAGUUUUUUUUUUGUAUUGCUUUCAUUUCAUUCACCAAAUAUUUUGGAAACGAAAGGAAAAAAUAGAUUAUGUUCUGUUACAUUUUAUCUAUAACUUAAUAAAAUCUAAUUAUAAACAUACUUUAAUACUUUACCCUCUUUUGUGUAUUUUUAUAUUCAUCUUGUUAUUUUUAUGAAGAAUUUAUGAAAUAAUAAAUUUAAAUAGGAAUUUUAAUCUUUUUUUAAGAGAAAGAAAUUACAAGAACUACUAAAAUAUUAAAAAAGAAUAUUAAAAUGUUAACAAUUAUCAUUAUCAAAUUUAAUAUUCAAAAUUUUUAAUUUUAUAUAUUCAAAAAUAUAUUAUUAAUUAAGUACAAGUGGCUCAAUUGUUUCUCUCCAUAUAAAUACGUAACAUUUCCUAAGUUACAGGAUAGUAAAGUCAUUUGAUCAUUCAUGAGGUAAGUAUUGGGUUCCAAAUUGUUUAUAAGGGAGGUAAGUGUUAUUUUUAAAAUGUCAGAGGAGGAUAUGAAAUUGUUAGAAACCUCAAGGAGGUUUCUGAAAUCAUCCUUAUAUAAAAUCCACCCACUCUGAAAACGCGGACCCCCUUAAAAACCCUAGAGUUUUGCUUCCCACAAAGGAAGGAAACAGAGCCCAGCGUCGCUGCAACACCAUUCUCUCGGCCUCCUCUUCAUCGGGUAUUCCCUUUAUCUCUCCUUCUCUUCAGAUAUUAGAGGAUGCUUUGUUUGGCGGUAUAUGUGUUAAUUUUUUGCCGACUUAUCGAGUAUAGUUCUAGGGAAGUGCUCGGUUUAUUCAUUUCAACAAUUUUGAUUUGCUUUUUGGGGCUUGAAAAAGGUCAGCAGCAGCAAACAGGGUUAUUGAAAAAAUGGCAUACCAAGCAGUGAAGCCGGCAAAGGUUGGUAUGGAGGAGCCUCAGGAGCAGGUUCAUAAGAUUAGGAUCACACUUUCCUCCAAAAACGUCAAGAACCUCGAGAAAGGUUAAUUUUUUUCUUCUUCUUUUAAUUAAAACCCUCUAGCCUAUUUUAACAAACCCUGGGGUUCAUAAGAACAUCCGGUUUUAUCUUAUAUGUAACCUGUUCUAAUUGUGCCGAUUUAUCUACAUUCCUGUAUCUCAAUUUUUUUUUUCUUUUUGGGUAUUGUUGGGAUAUAUAUUUGCGUAGUUUGUGCUGAUCUGGUUCGUGGGGCCAAGGAUAAGCGACUCAGGGUGAAGGGACCUGUAAGAAUGCCCACCAAGGUUCUUCACAUCACUACUAGGAAGUCUCCUUGCGGUGAAGGUAACUUGAUUUCUGCUUAUUUAUUUGUGCCAUUUGAAUGAAUAUGUGAUGUGUAACGCUUCGAAUCCAGGGAAAAAAUAGGAAAAAUGCUGUUUUAUGGCAUUUGAGUAUUGUAGACCAAAUAUUUGUUGACGUUGAUGUUAGGAUUAAUAACCUUAUAGUAUUUGAAGUUUAAUUGUAAUUGUUGUUGCUGAUUUUUAUUUUCUUGUUACAUUUGUUGAACUGUGGACGAUUGGUAAAUGUGUUUUUGUUUAAAUGUCAUUAGUAUAUUGUCAAUUUGAAGGACACGGUAUUGAAUAUGGGAAUGAAAUAUUGGCUGUUAAGCUUUGGAUUCUGAAGCAAAUUUUGGACUUUUUUUCAUCUUGAAAAGCGACCAGAGGAGUUGUGAUUUUUAGCUGCAAUAUAAUUGUACUUGGAAACUGAGACAGGGAGCCUUGAACUUUUUUAUUUGUUCUGUUAUGUUUUAGGAACAAAUAACAAGAACUUUUCUCUGAUGUUAUUAGUCUUUGGUUUUAGUUGGUCAGAAUCAUGUUGCAUUAUAUUAGAACCCAUUUGGCCAUUUCUGUUGCUUCCAGUCAUUUUUUGGAUUGGGAUUUUUCCUUGGAUUUUAAUUUUGUAUCAUUGUUGUACUGAUUCAAGGAGAUUGGGGAAUUAGUUUAUAUUAUUUUUAUGUCCUUGACGUAGAAGAUUAUAAUGCAUGCAUUUUUCCGUUUCAUAUUUGUUCCCUUUUUUUUUUUGGAGGAGACAGGGAAGGGUUGGGACAACGUUCUAAAUUGCUCAAGUGUUUUCUUAUUGUUGCUAAUGUUGAGCAGUCUAUGCCUUUGUGAAAUUUAACAAGAUCCCUUGUGCCCAUGAUUAGGGAUGGCAACGGGGUGGGGUUGGGGCGGGGGACCCCUCCCCCAUCCCCCGCCCCGCCUCCCCCGCGGAUGCUCCUGCGGAGCUAAUAAAAAUUUGUUAUAUAAAUUAUGGUUAAAUUUUAGCAAAUAAUCAAGUUCUAAAAUAUCAACACAUCAUCAAAUUAUUAUUCAUUGUAAUUUUACAAUUGAAACUUAUAAAAACAAUAAAAUAAAAAUUAUUUGAAUACAAUUUAACAUGAUGAAAUAAAUAUAACUAAAGUAGUCAAGUUUUUACUUUUGGCACAAAUACAAUCACUAAUUCAUUAUUGUGCUUGUGCUUUUUUUAAGAAAAAAAUGUUAUUAUAUUAAGUGUAAUUAGGGAUUUAGCAUAAAUGUAUUAGUAAAUUUAGUAUAACCAAUUAAUAAUUUGUAUUAGUACAUAUAUAAUUAUUAGUAUAAUUAAUAAUAUCAAUUAUAUUAUAUAUAACUAAUAAUAUAUAUCAAUUAUAGACAUUAUAUAAUACAUAUAACUAAUAAUAUCAUUAUUAUAAGUUUGUAACUAAUUAAAUUAUAUAUUAUAUAUAUAAUUAUAUACAUAUAUAUUUUAUAUAUUUAUUUUUUUAAAGCGGGUGGCGAGGCGGGGAUGGGGCGGAGGUACACUCCCCUGGCCCCUGCCCCAACCCCCUCCCCAUUAGCCUCCUGCGGGGCGGGUGCCCGCGGUCAUUCACCCCCAUUGCCAUCCUUACCCAUGAUGUGUUUUUGAGGAUCGUUCUAAAUUGCUCAAGUGUGUUUUUAUUGUUACUAAUGUUGAGCAGUCUGUGCCUUUGUUAAAUUUAACAAGAUCCCUUGUGCCUAUGAUGGGCUUUUGAGGAUAUGAAUCGCUGACCCAUUUUUUUUGAAUAUGUGUUUAUUGAACACUCGUUUUCUUGAUAUUUCUUUUUCCUGCAGGAACCAACACCUGGGAUACAUUUGAGCUCCGAGUUCACAAGCGGGUGAUUGACCUUUUCAGCUCUCCAGAUGUGGUGAAGCAAAUCACCUCGAUCACUAUUGAGCCUGGU